ACAGUUAUAAAUCAACAUAUUGAUUUAUAAGCAUGGAAAUCCCCUGAGUGAAACAACGAAUUGCUGUGUGUAGUCUUUGCCCAUCUCCCACGAUGGGCUUUUUUUUUA
rnacentral:other from 1 species